UACGUAGGGGGCUAGCGUUGUCCGGAAUCAUUGGGCGUAAAGCGCGCGUAGGCGGUCCGGUAAGUCCGCUGUGAAAGUCGGGGGCUCAACCCUCGAACGCCGGUGGAUACUGUCGGGCUAGAGUACGGAAGAGGAGAGUGGAAUUCCUGGUGUAGCGGUGAAAUGCGCAGAUAUCAGGAAGAACACCCGUGGCGAAGGCGGCUCGCUGGGACGGUACUGACGCUAAGACGCGAAAGCGUGGGGAGCGAACAGG
rnacentral:rRNA from 1 species